ensembl:lncRNA
AUGAUACUGGAUUUGAAUAUUAAAGUGACUGCAUUUACCAGCUGCUUUCUGUCUUCAAUUUUAAUCUAUAAAAAACAGAAAAUCAUUCGUCUUGGCUGUUUUUGUAUGUGUGUAUGUGCGUGUGUUUUAUGUAACCAUGAGCGUCAUCCUUGCCUGCUGCCUCAUUUUUAAACUAAAUUACAGUACAGCUCAUUGCUGAGCUUUGAUUUAAUAUUGAGUGAUUUUGUUGAAAAAUGUAUUGUGUGUGUGCAUACCCAGCAAUUAAAAUACUUUCUCAGUUUAAUAUAAAAUAAGUCAACAAGAUGUAAACACUGUGGUGCUGUCAAAACAUUACUCUUAACAGCAAUAUUGUUUACAUGCACUUUGAAAAUUCAGUUUCAGUCAGAUUAAAACAGUAAUUAUUAUUUUUUAAAUUACUUACUGAAAUCAUACCAGUACCAUACCACUUUUGUGAAGUCAGUCAGACUAACAGAUUUAGAAGGUGAAAUAAUAGAGCAGCUUUGUCCAGCAUCUAAUCACACCACAGUUGGCCUCAGCUUUGUGUGCUUGACCUGAGAGAUAAAGGUCCUGCACAAUCUGUAUUUAAUCUUUUUUCGAAUUCGAAUUUCGAAUUGUGUCAUGUAUACCUGCACAAAGAGAAGACCUGACUAACAUAGUGCAAUUUUAAUUGAAUCAACCAUUAAUGUACGUUUUAGGCAGGACUAUCUGUUCGUUUGAAUCCAGUGGAAGCAAUGUUCAGAAAACUUUAGAAGAAGUCAUUAUUUGUUUCACACUUUAAGGGAAAGUUCACUGAUUUUCAACCAACUUUGUAUUGUUGCAAUGUUGGUAGUAUAUGAACAAAAUGCAGUAUUUUCCAUGUAUGUUAUUUUAAAGAUUAAGGGGACCAUAGAAAAAAUUUUAUGAAUUACUCAUUGAGAAAUCUUGAAGACUAGUGGAACGCAUCCCCUUCAAUGUCCGUCUGUGAAUACAGACUUGGAAUUUCUGGUUAUAUAUUCCAUGCUUCUUUAGUCACUCAGUUUCCUAGUCAAGCAGGA